rnacentral:rRNA from 1 species
AGAGUUUGAUCCUGGCUCAGAAUCAACGCUGGCGGCGUGCCUCAGACAUGCAAGUCGAACGAUUAAACUUUCCUUCGGGAAAGAUAUAAAGUGGCGCACGGGUGAGUAACACGUAAGUAAUCUACCUUCGAGUGGGGAAUAACGUCGGGAAACCGACGCUAAUACCGCAUAAUGCAGCGGCACCUUAUGGUGACAGUUGUUAAAGGAGCAAUUCGCUUGAAGAGGAGCUUGCGGCAGAUUAGCUAGUUGGUAAGGUAACGGCUUACCAAGGCUACGAUCUGUAACCGGUCUAAGAGGACGGUCGGUCACACUGACACUGAAUAACGGGUCAGACUCCUACGGGAGGCAGCAGUCGGGAAUUUUGGGCAAUGGGCGAAAGCCUGACCCAGCAACGCCGCGUGAAGGAUGAAGUAUUUCGGUAUGUAAACUUCGAAAGAAUGGGAAGAAUCAAUGACGGACCAUUUAUAAGGUCCGGCUAACUACGUGCCAGCAGCCGCGGUA